rnacentral:tRNA from 1 species
CGCCCUGUAUGGUGGUUAUGACACUCGGCUUGUAAUUGAGUGGACUCGGGUUCAAAUCCCGAAUAAGGCCUGGGCGU